CCUACGGGGGGCUGCAGUGGGGAAUAUUGGACAAUGGGGGCAACCCUGAUCCAGCCAUGCCGCGUGUGUGAAGAAGGCCCUCGGGGUGUAAAGCACUUUCAGUGAGGAAGAACGCCUGGUGGUUAAUACCCAUCAGGAAAGACAUCACUCACAGAAGAAGCACCGGCUAACUCCGUGCCAGCAGCCGCGGUAAUACGGAGGGUGCGAGCGUUAAUCGGAAUUACUGGGCGUAAAGCGCGCGUAGGUGGCUUGAUAAGCCGGUUGUGAAAGCCCCGGGCUCAACCUGGGAACGGCAUCCGGAACUGUCAAGCUAGAGUGCAGGAGAGGAAGGUAGAAUUCCCGGUGUAGCGGUGAAAUGCGUAGAGAUCGGGAGGAAUACCAGUGGCGAAGGCGGCCUUCUGGACUGACACUGACACUGAGGUGCGAAAGCGUGGGUAGCAAACAGGAUUAGAUACCCCUGUAGUC
rnacentral:rRNA from 1 species